GGGAGCGGGACCGGAGCGGCUGCGAGCGCAGAGCCGGGGCAGGGCGAAGCUCGGAGUCUCUCAGCCCCACAGCCGCCAGUGAGGCAGGGAGCAAAGCAGGAGCCUGCAGCACCGAGAGGCGGCGGCGAGCGAGGCUCUUGAGACGCCUGGCAGAGGCUCCGGGGGCAGAGCCGGCCCGGCCCAGGCGAGCCUCGCCACGGCCCUCGGCGGCUGCCGUCCGACUCCGUCCCGCCGGCGGGAGCCGCCCCGAGCCCUGCAGGCGUCCGGCCGCGGUGCUCGGCGCCGGUGGCUGCCGGUGGAGGCCAGCGGCAGCGAGACGCCAGCGGCGGCAGCCUGCAUCGCCUCUGCUUCUCCCAGCCGGCAGAGGCUGCAAUGACAUCCCCCAGCAGCCUGCUUCAGGCGAAGCUGAAGAGCUGUAGCUCAGCCUUCCUUUGUGGCAGAGCUGUUCCAGCUCCCUGUCUCCUCCUGUGGCCUUCUCUGGCCCCGCUCUUAACUGGUUGAUGCCUUCCCUGUGCUGGGGAGCUGGAUGCAGCAGGUGAGGAGGAGCCACAGCAGAGUGCAGCAGAAGGGCAGAAUCGCCUGCCCUGCUCUGCUGAGCACUUUGAAGAGCCAGGUAAUGACACAGUGCCUUGAGUCAAAGCCUCUUUCCUCCUGUGUGCUUCUGCCUGACCUCUCCCUGCUCAUGGAACUCCGUUUCUGUAACAAAAGGUCCUGCAGCUGCAGCAGGAGCUUGUGCACGCUGGCAGAGUGCAGCCUCUGGCAGAGUCCUCCCACGAAGCCCAGAAGCUUUGCAGCAGCUGCCUGCAGCAGAAGAGCAGUGAGCUGCAGAGGGAGAAUGUCAGUUUGCAGGAGGAGCUGGAGAGAUCUGAAGCUAAGGUAUGGAGAAAGCCUCUCUCUUGGCAGCAGGUGGCUGCCCUACAGCUGUCUGAGUGCACUCGAGCCAACUGUGCCCCAAGAGCAGAGGGAGUGACCUGGGAGCGACUCAGCUUUGUUUUGUGAGCCUGGGGCCUGCAGUUAGAGAGGUGCCUGAGAGUGAGGUCCCUUUGUCCAUACCUGGAGCAGGAGGACAGGUGUAUUUAUUUCCCAGCACUGCUUCUGGGUCUGACACAGCAGGGCAGAACCUGCAGGGCCACCUGGAGGAUGCCUGCAGGGGAACUGCGUCUGUCCAAGAGCUGGCAGGAGGCCUGCAGCGGUGAGGAGCUCAGAGUGGAGCCAGGCUCUGCUCUCUGUGUUCUUGUGUCCCAGCAAGGCAGCACAGGGUGGCCAGAGCUGCUUUUGCUGUAGGGGAGGUUGUGUCCCAGGCUUCUCUGGGGCUUUGUGCUCUUGUGCACCUCUGUGCUGAGGCCUGUGCUUGCUUGUCAGGGUCCAAGGUGAACAUUGCAGGCUGAGCAGCACAGCCCAGGAGCACUGCAGCCCUUCAUAAAGACCUGCAAGCUGCUGCCUCGUGCCUGUGGAUGCCUUGGCCAGAAGGUGCAGCUCCAUACUGCAGCGAGCAGACCUCCCAAGAUGAACGUCCAGGACUCAGAAGGGACUCACUGCCAGUGCCCAGAGCCGGAGGACCUGGCCUCGAUGGCAAGCUGCAGGGAGGCAUUCCUGGCUGGAGCGUGGCAAAGAGAGUUGGCCGUGGGCAGGCACAAGGUAGCAGGCCUGGCUGUGUGCUGCUCUCCAGCAGUGCCCCUGAGUGGAAGCGGAGCUGAGCCCAGCUCUGCUGUGCCCCCGUGCAGGGAGCUGCCUGCGAGCAGAGCCAGGCCUGGCCCUGGAGCUUGCAAGGUGCUUCUGCACAUCAGCCCCUGGGCUUCCAGAGCUGCACAGGGCCUGGCAGGUGCAGGCUGCCUGCAGUGCCCCUGGGAGGGCAGGAAGGCUUUUCUGCCUGCCUUCAGGGAAAGCUGAGGCCC